GAUGAACGCUGGCGGCGUGCCUAAUACAUGCAAGUCGAGCGAACGGACGAGAAGCUUGCUUCUCUGAUGUUAGCGGCGGACGGGUGAGUAACACGUGGAUAACCUACCUAUAAGACUGGGAUAACUUCGGGAAACCGGAGCUAAUACCGGAUAAUAUUUUGAACCGCAUGGUUCAAAAGUGAAAGACGGUCUUGCUGUCACUUAUAGAUGGAUCCGCGCUGCAUUAGCUAGUUGGUAAGGUAACGGCUUACCAAGGCAACGAUGCAUAGCCGACCUGAGAGGGUGAUCGGCCACACUGGAACUGAGACACGGUCCAGACUCCUACGGGAGGCAGCAGUAGGGAAUCUUCCGCAAUGGGCGAAAGCCUGACGGAGCAACGCCGCGUGAGUGAUGAAGGUCUUCGGAUCGUAAAACUCUGUUAUUAGGGAAGAACAUAUGUGUAAGUAACUGUGCACAUCUUGACGGUACCUAAUCAGAAAGCCACGGCUAACUACGUGCCAGCAGCCGCGGUAAUACGUAGGUGGCAAGCGUUAUCCGGAAUUAUUGGGCGUAAAGCGCGCGUAGGCGGUUUUUUAAGUCUGAUGUGAAAGCCCACGGCUCAACCUUGGAGGGUCAUUGGAAACUGGAAAACUUGAGUGCAGAAGAGGAAAGUGGAAUUCCAUGUGUAGCGGUGAAAUGCGCAGAGAUAUGGAGGAACACCAGUGGCGAAGGCGACUUUCUGGUCUGUAACUGACGCUGAUGUGCGAAAGCGUGGGGAUCAAACAGGAUUAGAUACCCUGGUAGUCCACGCCGUAAACGAUGAGUGCUAAGUGUUAGGGGGUUUCCGCCCCUUAGUGCUGCAGCUAACGCAUUAAGCACUCCGCCUGGGGAGUACGACCGCAAGGUUGAAACUCAAAGGAAUUGACGGGGACCCGCACAAGCGGUGGAGCAUGUGGUUUAAUUCGAAGCAACGCGAAGAACCUUACCAAAUCUUGACAUCCUUUGACAACUCUAGAGAUAGAGCUUUCCCCUUCGGGGGACAAAGUGACAGGUGGUGCAUGGUUGUCGUCAGCUCGUGUCGUGAGAUGUUGGGUUAAGUCCCGCAACGAGCGCAACCCUUAAGCUUAGUUGCCAUCAUUAAGUUGGGCACUCUAAGUUGACUGCCGGUGACAAACCGGAGGAAGGUGGGGAUGACGUCAAAUCAUCAUGCCCCUUAUGAUUUGGGCUACACACGUGCUACAAUGGACAAUACAAAGGGCAGCGAAACCGUGAGGUCAAGCAAAUCCCAUAAAGUUGUUCUCAGUUCGGAUUGUAGUCUGCAACUCGACUACAUGAAGCUGGAAUCGCUAGUAAUCGUAGAUCAGCAUGCUACGGUGAAUACGUUCCCGGGUCU
rnacentral:rRNA from 1 species